AGCAGCCGCGGUAAUUCCAGCUCCAAUAGCGUAUAUUAAAGUUGUUGCAGUUAAAAAGCUCGUAGUCGAAUUUCGGGGUCAGUAGAUUGGUCGUGCCACUGGUAUGUACUGGUCUCACUGGCUCCUCCUUCCUGAUGAACCGUAAUGCCAUUAAUUUGGUGUUGCGGGGAGACUGGACUGUUACUUUGAAAAAAUUAGAGUGUUUAAAGCAGGCUAACGCUUGAAUACAUUAGCAUGGAAUAAUGAAAUAGGACGUUCGAUCUUAUUUUGUUGGUUUCUAAGAUUGACGUAAUGAUUAAUAGGGACAGUCGGGGGCAUCAGUAUUCAAUUGUCAGAGGUGAAAUUCUUGGAUUUAU
rnacentral:rRNA from 1 species